UACGGAGGAUGCGAGCGUUAUCCGGAUUUAUUGGGUUUAAAGGGUGCGUAGGCGGAUUUUUAAGUCAGCGGUAAAAUGUCCGGGCUCAACCCGGGCCGGCCGUUGAAACUGGGGAUCUUGAGUGGGCGAGAAGUAUGCGGAAUGCGUGGUGUAGCGGUGAAAUGCAUAGAUAUCACGCAGAACUCCGAUUGCGAAGGCAGCAUACCGGCGCCCGACUGACGCUGAGGCGCGAAAGCGUGGGGAGCAAACAGG
rnacentral:rRNA from 1 species